UAACGAACGAGACCUUAUCCUGCUAAAUAGCCAGGCCGGCUUUUGCUGGUCGCCGGCUUCUUAGAGGGACUGCGGUUGCGUCUAGCCCGCGGAAGUUUGAGGCAAUAACAGGUCUGUGAUGCCCUUAGAUGUUCUGGGCCGCACGCGCGCUACACUGACAGAGCCAGCGAGUUUCUCACCUUGGCCGGAAGGUCUGGGUAAUCUUGUGAAACUCUGUCGUGCUGGGGAUAGAGCAUUGCAAUC
rnacentral:rRNA from 1 species